GUCCCGCGAGAGAAAUGUUUAAUGGAAUGUUGAUGUCCCAAGGAGAGUUGGUCUAUGGAGCAACUACAGUUACUAUAAUAGGGGAGAGUGGGGUAAGAUGAGACAUUUUUUUAUAUUUCGGAUCACUACAUCAAGGCAAUCAUAGUUUUGUCUCUGACUAGUGUAUCUGCAUGUAUUUCAAGAUGUUGUGCACCCCUGCAAACCAACAGAAUGUCCAAAGUGGUCUCCUAUGGUCAACUUACCCCGUGUAUGGGGUAAGUUGACCAUAGGAGUGGGGUAAAUUGAGCUGUAUCCCUACUAACCCCUCCACUCUCCACCCCAGCCCUCCCUGACCUUCUCUCUCCCUUAAUAACAGUCACUUCUUCACAUUCAUGUGUAUUUUUUAUCUAUUAUACACUAUUCAACUGGGACAAUGAUUCUUUUUAUUAUUAUUAUUAUUGCAUAUAACUGCGGUCAUCAGACUUUUGAACUCCUCCCUCAGAGACCCUGACACCUUCAGUCAGUAGUCUUUACCUGGACUCUG